GACGAACGCUGGCGGCGUGCUUAACACAUGCAAGUCGAGAGGAGCGGCGAACGGGUGAGUAACGCGUGAGUAACUGCCCCCCUCUCUGGGAUAACAGUUGGAAACGGCUGCUAAUACCGGAUAGUGGGGGAUGACUCGCGUCCUAUCAGCUUGUUGGUGGUGUAGUGGCCUCCCAUGGCGACGAAGGGUAGCCGGCCUGAGAGGGCGACCGGCAACAUUGGGCUGAGAUACGGCCCAAACUACUCCGGGAUGCAGCAGUGGGGAAUAUUGCACAAUUGCGGAAACCCUGAUGCAGCACCGCGCGUGCGGGAUGACGGCCUUCGGGUUGUAAACCGCUUUCAGCCAUGACGCGGUAGUGGCAGAAGAAGCACCGGCUAACUACGUGCCAGCAGCCGCGGUAAUAC
rnacentral:rRNA from 1 species